CUGCACGGUGGCUCUGACUCAUUGUUCUCCUCCCACAGCUUGCAGCCAGGGAGGGAGAGCUCAGCUUGGAGCAACAAAAGGCAUCAGCCCCAUGGACAUUCUCAGGCUUCUGCCCUCAAGGCCAGCAGUGAGCUCCUGCUCUGGAGGCUGUAGCUGGUCUCAGCUUUGCCCACUCUGCAGAAAGCCAACAUUUCAUGGCUCAGGACCCAGUGAAGAACCAACUGCUAUGUCCUACUAAAAUCAGAAGGAAAAAGUUUAAAAAGGCAUUUGGCCCACUGGUCUAGCUGUCCUUAAAAAUCACCCUAUUCCAAAAGACAAAUAAAACCAAGGCUUCUGAGAGCUUCCAAGAUACAACAGUGCCGGUGGCAGCUUUUUGCUUUGAUGUAACUACCACCCUCACAUGACAGCAUUGUUCUUCGGAUGGACAGCCCGAUUCCACGCCCUGGCCAGAACCAUCCCACUUGAGGCAAAAAUACAUGUCUGCUAUACAUUCUUGCCUGGUGUGUGGUCAGUGCCCCCAGUCUUCAAACCAGAAGUUAUUUACACCAAAUGCUUAAGCAAAAUGAUUACUCAAGCCCCUCAUCCACCUCC